rnacentral:rRNA from 1 species
CCUACGGGAUGCAGCAGUGAGGAAUAUUGGUCCAUGGCCGAGAGGCUGAACCAGCCAAGUCGCGUGAGGGAAGACGGCCCUACGGGUUGUAAACCUCUUUUGUCGGGGAGCAAAGCGAACCACGUGUGGUUCAUUGAGAGUACCCGAAGAAAAAGCAUCGGCUAACUCCGUGCCAGCAGCCGCGGUAAUACGGAGGCUGCGAGCGUUAUCCGGAUGUAUUGGGUUUAAAGGGGGCGCAGGCGGAGGUGCAAGUCAGCGGUCAAAUUGCGGGGCUCAACCCCGUACUGCCGUUGAGACUGCAUCCCUUGAGUGCGGGAGAAGUAUGGGGAAUGCGUGGUGUAGCGGUGAAAUGCAUAGAUAUCACGCAGAACUCCGAUUGCGAGGGCAGCAUACCGGGGCGCAACUGAAGCUCAUGCACGAAAGCGUGGGUAUCGAACAGGAUUAGAUACCCCUGUAGU